rnacentral:lncRNA from 1 species
CUCAAUGCAUUUAUCCUUGAGAUUGUGUUUCCACAUCUACCCAUUGAUGGAUAUGUAAGUUGUUUCCAGUUUGGAGCUCUUACAAAUGAAGCUGCUAUGAGCCUUCCUGGUGACCAAAGCUGUUGAACAUCUUUUCAGUGUAUAUCUUUGGUCCAUUUUUAAAAAAUUGGGUUUUUAAAAAAAUGAUGAAUGAGUUUGGAGAACACUUUAUAUAUGCUGCAAGCAAGUCCUUUAUCAGAUACUCAAUUCUCUGUGGAUGAAGAUUCCAUCACAGGCCAGGUGCAGUGGAUGCAGGAGUGAAGAAAACCAGCAAAAGUGCGUGCCUGGAGGGAACUUACUGGAAUAAGAGGACGGGGUACAUGUGGCGGGAAAGGCCCAAGACACCGUGCCAGAGACAGCACGAGAAACAAUGAAGUCCUUCAGAGGCACAAACUCCCUGCCCAACUGAGAUCACUGCCUCUCUCCACCUGCAGCCCCCACAUGCGCGGUCCUAGACACCCAGGCCCACACUGCACCUAAUGUCCUCACUUUCCCCCCGGGGAUAGUUCUUACAAUUUAAGGGGAAGAUGGUUCUGGGGCCGGUGCAGACUGCGGGCUGCGUCUCCACCUGUUGCCCUGCAGCUUGCCGUGUGGCCAGGCCAGAGUGGAUGCUCCAGAGCCUUUGCUGAGUGAAUCCAAGACUUGCUUUAAAAACAGACUUUCUUCAUUUAAGCUCUGAUUUGGACAAAUACAUCCAAGAAACAGCACACUAUCAAAACGAAUUUCCACACAGCAAUGUAAAAACACAGCACAGAAAAAUGACAACAGCCUGAGGCCAGAACAAAGACUCCUAGAAACAUCUUCAUACAACUUAAAAUUGGGAGGCUGGGUGCGGUGGCUCAUGCCUGUAAUCCUAGCACUUUGGGAGGCUGAGAUGGAAGGAUCUCUUGAGGCCAGGAGUUUGAGAUCAGCCUGGUCAACAUAGUGAGAUCCACCCCAUCUCUUAAAAAAACAAUUUUAAAUUAGGAAAUAAGAGAAGUCGAACUUGCCAUUUAAUGGUGAUGAGCAUGGAGGGGAUACUUUUCCUCGCAGACUGUUUCAUUUUCUGGCUGUGAUAAAGCCAACACUUGCUUUUUCUGAUCACCAGGACGGGGGUGCUCUUGCAGUGCCCACGUCAGGGGGAGUUUUUGGUGUGAGACAGCGUCCAGACUCUUCACUGAAAUUCAAGUGCUGAAAGGACUUUCUAAGCCUCAGAGGGAAGUGGAGAUGAGAUGAGAAUCUGACUUUUGCCCCAGUAUUUGGCUUGCAAAGAUGGAAUGUUCCUUUGUGGACUCUGAGAAUGCUGUAUUAAUGUGGAGGUAGAGCUGUUAGGGCCAACGCUAAGAGCUCCCAGUAGAGGGACAGGCUCGCUUUAGAGAAACUCUGUGUCAUAUGAGUUUUGUCCAUGAGAUGGCGGUGUCGUAUCAUAAAAGAAACCUUCCCUUUUAACUAUUGCUCUGAAAAACCCGGUAACAACUUUUUAAAAAAAGGCAUCUUGCUCCCCCA